rnacentral:rRNA from 1 species
AUACAGAGGGUGCAAGCGUUAAUCGGAAUUACUGGGCGUAAAGCGCGCGUAGGUGGUUAGUUAAGUUGGAUGUGAAAGCCCUGGGCUCAACCUGGGAAUGGCAUUCAAAACUGGCUGACUAGAGUAUGGUAGAGGGAAGGGGAAUUCCAGGUGUAGCGGUGAAAUGCGUAGAUAUCUGGAGGAACAUCAGUGGCGAAGGCGCCUUCCUGGACUAAUACUGACACUGCGGUGCGAAAGCGUGGGUAGCAAACAGGAUUAGAAACCCUAGUAGUCC